CGACCACUCAAAGUUUCUUUCAAGCAAAUGAAUUCAAACCUCUUUGUCAGGAUUUCAGGCUAGGCAUUGGCAGUUGGAUUACUGAUAGCAGUGUAGCUAGGGAAGACUUAUCUUUUGGGGACUUUUAGCAGAUAUAACAUUAAAAGGAACUUUCAUUUUUUACAUUUGUAUUAAAUCGAAAAGUCCGUCGUUUACUAUUCCGAAGACUGGAUUACAUUUAAAAGAUGAAGAUUCUAUUUAGCAGUCUAUUCCUCGGAAUCUGUCUGUUGGUUUUAGUUUCAGAGACAGAAAGUUCAACAACAAAAGCAGCAGCUCCAGUUCCAGGUAAAUAUAUGCCAAAACAUUUAAAGAAAUUAAAAUGCCUUAAAAUAAGA